GUGGAAGGGGGAUGGGAUUAAGUCAGAGAACUUGAGUUCUGGAGCCCCUCCUGCCUCCAACCAGCCAUUUGUCAGUGACUGCUUGUUUCACCGUUUCCUGUUCCUCGUUGUAAGAUUUGGGGAAUGUUACCUUUUCACAGAAACUAGAAAAGCCAUAGAUACCAUACAGUAAACAUCACUCUUUUAAAAAAUAUUUUUUAUUUCGGCAUAAUUUCAGAGUUUUACAAAAGUUGCAGGAAUAGUACAAAGAAUUCUCUUCACUUGGAUACCUAAAUGUUAAUAUUUUACUACAUUUGCUUUAUCCUUUUCUUUCUCUGUAAUUUGUAUUUGAACCAUUUGAAAGUAAGUAGCAGGCGUGAGCCACCGCACCCGGCCUGAAUGUAGGUUUUCUAAAAUCAUGUCAAUAACCACAAAGGAGCCAUCAAAAUCAGGAAGUUAAUGUGGAUACAGCAUUAUUAUACCAGCUAACCUAGGCUUACUUAAAUUUUACCAAUCGUUACAACCUCUCUUGUAAGAGAAACCCCCCA
rnacentral:lncRNA from 10 species